ACUAAGCGUACACGGUGGAUGCCCUGGCAGUCAGAGGCGAUGAAGGACGUGCUAAUCUGCGAAAAGCGUCGGUAAGGUGAUAUGAACCGUUACAGCCGGCGAUGUCCGAAUGGGGAAACCCAGUGCAAUUCGUUGCACUAUCGUUAACUGAAUACAUAGGUUAACGAGGCGAACCGGGGGAACUGAAACAUCUAAGUACCCCGAGGAAAAGAAAUCAACCGAGAUUCCCCCAGUAGCGGCGAGCGAACGGGGAGCAGCCCAGAGUCUGAAUCAGCUUGUGUGUUAGUGGAACGGUCUGGAAAGUCCGACGGUACAGGGUGAUAGUCCCGUACACCAAAAUGCACAGGCUGUGAACUCGAAGAGUAGGGCGGGACACGUGGUAUCCUGUCUGAAUAUGGGGGGACCAUCCUCCAAGGCUAAAUACUCCUGACUGACCGAUAGUGAACCAGUACCGUGAGGGAAAGGCGAAAAGAACCCCGGCGAGGGGAGUGAAAAAGAACCUGAAACCGUGUACGUACAAGCAGUGGGAGCACCUUCGGGUGUGACUGCGUACCUUUUGUAUAAUGGGUCAGCGACUUAUAUUCUGUAGCAAGGUUAACCGUAUAGGGGAGCCGCAGGGAAACCGAGUCUUAACUGGGCGUUAAGUUGCAGGGUAUAGACCCGAAACCCGGUGAUCUAGCCAUGGGCAGGUUGAAGGUUGGGUAACACUAACUGGAGGACCGAACCGACUAAUGUUGAAAAAUUAGCGGAUGACUUGUGGCUGGGGGUGAAAGGCCAAUCAAACCGGGAGAUAGCUGGUUCUCCCCGAAAGCUAUUUAGGUAGCGCCUCGUGAAUUCAUCUUCGGGGGUAGAGCACUGUUUCGGCUAGGGGGUCAUCCCGACUUACCAACCCGAUGCAAACUACGAAUACCGAAGAAUGUUAUCACGGGAGACACACGGCGGGUGCUAACGUCCGUCGUGAAGAGGGAAACAACCCAGACCGCCAGCUAAGGUCCCAAAGUCAUGGUUAAGUGGGAAACGAUGUGGGAAGGCACAGACAGCCAGGAUGUUGGCUUAGAAGCAGCCAUCAUUUAAAGAAAGCGUAAUAGCUCACUGGUCGAGUCGGCCUGCGCGGAAGAUGUAACGGGGCUAAACCAUGCACCGAAGCUGCGGCAGCGACACUAUGUGUUGUUGGGUAGGGGAGCGUUCUGUAAGCCUGCGAAGGUGACCUGUGAGGGUUGCUGGAGGUAUCAGAAGUGCGAAUGCUGACAUAAGUAACGAUAAAGCGGGUGAAAAGCCCGCUCGCCGGAAGACCAAGGGUUCCUGUCCAACGUUAAUCGGGGCAGGGUGAGUCGACCCCUAAGGCGAGGCCGAAAGGCGUAGUCGAUGGGAAACAGGUUAAUAUUCCUGUACUUGGUGUUACUGCGAAGGGGGGACGGAGAAGGCUAUGUUAGCCGGGCGACGGUUGUCCCGGUUUAAGCAUGUAGGCUGGUUGUCCAGGCAAAUCCGGAUAAUCAAGGCUGAGGUGUGAUGACGAGGCACUACGGUGCUGAAGUAACAAAUGCCCUGCUUCCAGGAAAAGCCUCUAAGCAUCAGGUAACAUCAAAUCGUACCCCAAACCGACACAGGUGGUCAGGUAGAGAAUACCAAGGCGCUUGAGAGAACUCGGGUGAAGGAACUAGGCAAAAUGGUGCCGUAACUUCGGGAGAAGGCACGCUGGUGUGUAGGUGAAGCCCCUGCGGGUGGAGCUGAGACCAGUCGAAGAUACCAGCUGGCUGCAACUGUUUAUUAAAAACACAGCACUGUGCAAACACGAAAGUGGACGUAUACGGUGUGACGCCUGCCCGGUGCCGGAAGGUUAAUUGAUGGGGUUAUCCGUAAGGAGAAGCUCUUGAUCGAAGCCCCGGUAAACGGCGGCCGUAACUAUAACGGUCCUAAGGUAGCGAAAUUCCUUGUCGGGUAAGUUCCGACCUGCACGAAUGGCGUAAUGAUGGCCAGGCUGUCUCCACCCGAGACUCAGUGAAAUUGAACUCGCUGUGAAGAUGCAGUGUACCCGCGGCAAGACGGAAAGACCCCGUGAACCUUUACUAUAGCUUGACACUGAACAUUGAGCCUUGAUGUGUAGGAUAGGUGGGAGGCUUUGAAGCGUGGACGCCAGUCUGCGUGGAGCCAACCUUGAAAUACCACCCUUUAAUGUUUGAUGUUCUAACGUUGGCCCCUUACCGGGGUUGCGGACAGUGUCUGGUGGGUAGUUUGACUGGGGCGGUCUCCUCCCAAAGCGUAACGGAGGAGCACGAAGGUUAGCUAAUCCUGGUCGGACAUCAGGAGGUUAGUGCAAUGGCAUAAGCUAGCUUGACUGCGAGCGUGACGGCGCGAGCAGGUGCGAAAGCAGGUCAUAGUGAUCCGGUGGUUCUGAAUGGAAGGGCCAUCGCUCAACGGAUAAAAGGUACUCCGGGGAUAACAGGCUGAUACCGCCCAAGAGUUCAUAUCGACGGCGGUGUUUGGCACCUCGAUGUCGGCUCAUCACAUCCUGGGGCUGAAGUAGGUCCCAAGGGUAUGGCUGUUCGCCAUUUAAAGUGGUACGCGAGCUGGGUUUAGAACGUCGUGAGACAGUUCGGUCCCUAUCUGCCGUGGGUGUAGGAUACUUGAAAGGAUUUGUCCUUAGUACGAGAGGACCGGGAUGAACAUACCUCUGGUGUACCAGUUGUUUCGCCAGAAGCAACGCUGGGUAGCUAAGUAUGGAAGGGAUAACCGCUGAAUGCAUCUAAGCGGGAAACCCACCUUGAAACUAGGUAUCCCAAUUAAGACCGUGGUAGACCACCACGUUGAUAGGUUGGGUGUGUAAGCACAGCAAUGUGUUUAGCUAACCAAUACUAAUAGUCUGAUUGGCUUGAUU
rnacentral:rRNA from 1 species